rnacentral:rRNA from 1 species
AUUGAACGCUGGCGGCAGGCCUAACACAUGCAAGUCGAACGAGUGGCGGACGGGUGAGUAAUGUCUGGGAAACUGCCUGAUGUAGGGGGAUAACUACUGGAAACGGUAGCUAAUACCGCAUACCAUCGGAUGUGCCCAGAUGGGAUUAGCUAGUAGGUGGGGUAAAGGCUCACCUAGGCGACGAUCCCUAGCUGGUCUGAUAGGAUGACCAGCAACACUGGAACUGAGACACGGUCCAGACGCCUACGGGAGGCAGAAGGGGGGAAUAUUGCACAAGGGGCGCAAGCCUGAUGAAGCCAUGCCGCGUGUAUGAAGAAGGCCUUAGGGUUGUAAAGUACUUUCAGCGGGGAGGCGUUACCCGCAGAAGAAGCACCGGCUAACUCCGUGCCAGCAGACGCGGUAAUAC